UUGAUUCACCGUUGGCUCAAGAACCGGCGCAAGAAGGAGAGCGAUUUGGAGGCGCCUCUACUGCGCGUAGACGUCGACAGGUCUGCCUCGCCGGCUAUUCUUCAGCCAUCCUCCUCCUCCUCGCGCUCUGCUGCUCCCUCGGAGGACCUUGGAGGUUAUCUUGGCUACACACUUUUUGGUGCCUUAGCUGUCUUGCCUAGCUUUGGGCCAGAAAAUCUAAUGAAACAUCAAAGUAAAGUCUUGAAGUGGUGGUUCCACGUAAUUUUUGCAGCCUGGUGGAGUUCGAUCGGUUUAGGUGUUACUAGUAGCCAGGACCCGCCAUUCCAGUCCUUAUUAGUUGAUGCCCGCUUGGCAGCACGUCUGGGUAUCAUUGGGCUUACCGCGCUGGUGAUACUAUACUGUCAUCUUUUGCUCGCACCUGAUGCAAAGACAACACUGUACACCAUGUUGACAUUGGCCAUGGUCUUGCAUCUAUCUUUCUGGAUAGCGGAUUGUUGCGGGCGCCGCCUCGGCCAUUGACUAUGCUGCCGCCUCCGUACCCGCCUCGGUCCGCUGUCUCCAUUGCCGCCUCGGCAGCCGACUAUGCCGCGCCUCCACCACUCACCCCCGCCCUCGUUGUUGCUGCCGCCUCCUUCGCCGACUCCGCGCCGGGUGCUGCCACCUCCUAUACGCCAGAUCAAUGUUACCUUCCAUUCAUAAGUCUUGAACAACCGACGCCGCGGCCUCUCUGUGACCGCCGCCGCCGCUCCACUGUCGGAUCUCCACCACCCGCUGUUCACCCUGUUUGCUGACCCACCGCCUCCCUCCUCGUCGCCGCCGUCUCGGCUCUCCGCCGCCCGUUCAUCGGGUCAGUCAGCUUUCAAAGUGCUGUCACCAUACGCAACAGAUGGAUCACCAGCGUCUUCUCCCUGUUCUCCUUCAAAUAGAUCUUCAGUCAUAUCUGCAUUAUGGUUAAAAUGCCUGGAGGUAAGAAACUGAAUAAAGAUACGCAAUUCAGACAGCAGUGACACUUGUGCUAAAGAAUAUGAUACUUCUGAAAACAGGGACCUAAUGACCAAUGAAAAUAAAAUAAAUGCCAAAUGUGAUUAGCAGUUAAAUAAAUUGAAAAACAAAUUUCCGUUAUAUAAAUAGUAGAAAAACAUUUAUGGAAAAGUUUAAAAGGGAAAAUAGUCCUUCUCAUUUUGCUUUACAGGGUGGUAAGAAUGAUGCAGGAAGUCUGUAAAAAUGAUGCCUGGAAAUCUGGAAUCAUGGUUGUUAAAUUAUUUAGCACAGGGAAUUAAAUUAUUCACAAGAGAUACUGGACACUGUCGCAGAGAUACUGGAGUGACACGAUGCUGUAAGAGAUAUAGAGAGGAAGCUUUUGGAGUUGCAGCAGUGUUGGUUGAGGCUCAAGGAGACAUGAUCAACAACAUAGAGACACAUGUUUCAAAUGCUACCGACCAUAUACAACAAGGUGUCACUGCUCUCCAGAAUGCAAGGAAGCUCCAGAAGAACUCACGGAAGUGGAUGUGCUACGCCAUCAUUCUUCUGCUCAUCAUAGUGGUGAUCAUCGUUGUUGCUGUUAUCCCGCCAUGGAAGAAGGGUGCCUGAGCCUGACUGGGAAAAGAAGACCUCGGGAUAUAUAUGAUGUUUUUUUUUUCCUGUUUGUGCAAUAUGUGUAGUUCUGUCUCUGAUUCACCUAUACCCAUGUACCUAUUCUCAACAAAAAGAGAACACACUGAGAUUCGUUUGUCCCUUGGGCCUAUUCAUCAUCAUACCAAAUUUCCUGUGUAUCAUUGGUGAUGUGUGAAACAAUGGUUCCACAAGUCUCACCAACAAUUGUGCACGCAUUCCUGAAUCUUUACAAACAUUGCAGCUGUGCGCCUGUUUGACAAACAAUCGGGCAAGCUACUGUAUGAUGCUGUAAAUCUGUAAUUCGGCUACAGUAGCUGGUCACUCGUCUGGGC